rnacentral:lncRNA from 1 species
GAACACGCAAAUGGGACAACUUGCUACUCAAAUAAAUAACAUGCAAGCCCAAGGGUCGAACCAGCUUCCAGCCCAAACAAUUGUCAAUGCAAGGGAUUCUAAUGCUAAUGUGAGUGCGAUUUCGUUGAGAUCUGGAAAGGUUACAAAAACAGCCCCUGAAAAAAAUAAAAAAAUUAUUGAGGUAACAUCUGAACCUGAACCUACUCCAUCUGAACCUAUUUCAUCUGAAAAAAUUAAAGAAAAGGAGUAUGUG